rnacentral:rRNA from 1 species
ACGCUGGCGGCGUGCCUAAUACAUGCAAGUCGAGCGAACAGACGAGGAGCUUGCUCCUCUGACGUUAGCGGCGGACGGGUGAGUAACACGUGGAUAACCUACCUAUAAGACUGGGAUAACUUCGGGAAACCGGAGCUAAUACCGGAUAAUAUAUUGAACCGCAUGGUUCAAUAGUGAAAGACGGUUUUGCUGUCACUUAUAGAUGGAUCCGCGCCGCAUUAGCUAGUUGGUAAGGUAACGGCUUACCAAGGCAACGAUGCGUAGCCGACCUGAGAGGGUGAUCGGCCACACUGGAACUGAGACACGGUCCAGACUCCUACGGGAGGCAGCAGUAGGGAAUCUUCCGCAAUGGGCGAAAGCCUGACGGAGCAACGCCGCGUGAGUGAUGAAGGUCUUCGGAUCGUAAAACUCUGUUAUUAGGGAAGAACAAAUGUGUAAGUAACUAUGCACGUCUUGACGGUACCUAAUCAGAAAGCCACGGCUAACUACGUGCCAGCAGCCGCGGUAAUACGUAGGUGGCAAGCGUUAUCCGGAAUUAUUGGGCGUAAAGCGCGCGUAGGCGGUUUUUUAAGUCUGAUGUGAAAGCCCACGGCUCAACCGUGGAGGGUCAUUGGAAACUGGAAAACUUGAGUGCAGAAGAGGAAAGUGGAAUUCCAUGUGUAGCGGUGAAAUGCGC